rnacentral:rRNA from 1 species
AGAGUUUGAUCCUGGCUCAGGCCUAACACAUGCAAGUCGAACGGUAGCACAGAGGAGCUUGCUCCUUGGGUGACGAGUGGCGGACGGGUGAGGAAUGCAUCGGAAUCUACUCUUUCGUGGGGGAUAACGUAGGGAAACUUACGCUAAUACCGCAUACGACCUACGGGUGAAAGCAGGGGACCUUCUAGGCCUUGCGCGAUUGAAUGAGCCGAUGUCCGAUUAGCUAGGUUGCGGGGUAAUGGCCCACCAAGGCGACGAUCGGUAGCUGGUCUGAGAGGAUGAUCAGCCACACUGGAACUGAGACACGGUCCAGACUCCUACGGGAGGCAGCAGUGGGGAAUAUUGGACAAUGGGCGCAAGCCUGAUCCAGCCAAACCGCGUGGGUGAAGAAGGCCUUCGGGUUGUAAAGCCCUUUUGUUGGGAAAGAAAAGCAGCCGGCUAAUACCCGGUUGUUCUGACGGUACCCAAAGAAUAAGCACCGGCUAACUUCGUGCCAGCAGCCGCGGUAAUACGAAGGGUGCAAGCGUUACUCGGAAUUACUGGGCGUAAAGCGUGCGUAGGUGGUUGUUUAAAUCUGUCGUGAAAGCCCUGGGCUCAACCUGGGAACUGCGAUGGAAACUGGGCGACUAGAGUGUGGUAGAGGGUAGCGGAAUUCCUGGUGUAGCAGUGAAAUGCGUAGAUAUCAGGAGGAACAUCCAUGGCGAAGGCAGCUACCUGGGCCAACACUGACACUGAGGCACGAAAGCGUGGGGAGCAAACAGGAUUAGAUACCCUGGUAGUCCACGCCCUAAACGAUGCGAACUGGAUGUUGGGUGCACUUUGGCACGCAGUAUCGAAGCUAACGCGUUAAGUUCGCCGCCUGGGGAGUACGGUCGCAAGAUUGAAACUCAAAGGAAUGACGG